CCUACGGGCGGCAGCAGUGAGGAAUAUUGGUCAAUGGGUGAGAGCCUGAACCAGCCACGUCGCGUGAGGGAAGACGGUCCUACGGAUUGUAAACCUCUUUUGUAAGGGAGCAAGGAGCGCCACGAGUGGUGUGGCGAGAGUACCUGAAGAAAAAGCAUCGGCUAACUCCGUGCCAGCAGCCGCGGUAAUACGGAGGAUGCGAGCGUUAGCCGGAUUUAUUGGGUUUAAAGGGUGCGCAGGCGGGAGCAGCAAGUCAGCGGUAAACUUGCGGGGCUCAACCUCGCCGAGCCGUUGAAACUGCUCUGCUAGAGUGGGCGAGAAGUAUGCGGAAUGCGUGGUGUAGCGGUGAAAUGCAUAGAUAUCACGCAGAACUCCGAUUGCGAAGGCAGCAUACCGGCGCCCUACUGACGCUCAUGCACGAAAGCGUGGGUAUCGAACAGGAUUAGAUACCCCAGUAGUC
rnacentral:rRNA from 1 species